GAUGAACGCUGGCGGCGUGCCUAAUACAUGCAAGUCGAGCGAACAGAGGAGGUACUUGCUCCUCUGACGUUAGCGGCGGACGGGUGAGUAACACGUGGGGAACCUGCCUAUAAGCCUGGGAUAACUUCGGGAAACCGGAGCUAAUACCGGAUAAAAUAUUUAAACGCAUGGUUCAAGAGUGAAAGAUGGAUUUGCUUUCACUUAUGGAGAUAUCCGCUCCGCUUUAGCUAGUUGUUAAGUUAACGGCUAACAAAGGCGACGAUGCGUAGCCGACCUGAGAGGGUGACCGCCCCCACUGGAACUGAGACACGGUCCAGCCUCCUACGGGAGGCAGCAGUAGGGAUUCUUCCGCAAUGGGCGAAAGCCUGCCGGAGCACCGCCGCGUGAUUGAUGAGGGUCUUCGAAUCGUAAAACUCGGUUAUUAGGGAAGACCUAAUGUGUAAGUAACUAUGCACGUCUUGACGGUACCUAAUCAGAAAGCCACGGCUAACUACGUG
rnacentral:rRNA from 1 species